rnacentral:lncRNA from 1 species
CUGAGUGGUCGGUUCUUGUGCUUCUUUACAGUUGACGACCUAUGCGGUCGAUGGGCCCUGGAGGGCAGGAUUGUCGGCUGGUUGCCGACGGUUAAUCAUUGAACAAAUGCAUUGAUCGCCGCGAUACUCGUCGCAUUUCACGAACACUGGCGGUCUGAUCCCACCAACAAGGAAUGUUCUUUUCCGGAAAAGUGGUUGAAUGGUGACAACUCGUGAGCCCUAGAGGGGUUAUAUGCACUUGAGAGUAGUAGUGGCAUUGGCUUGAGGUCUCCGUGCUGACCAAGAGCGCAUUGGUUUCAAAUUUGGUAGUUUUGGACUUCUUGACCGGUGACGCAUAUGUCUAUCGUAGCAGUCGUUGCAUGCAUACUUACAGUUCUUACUUUAUAGUUGUCUUGCUACUAUAGUAGAUAUUCAUGUAUGCUUUCUGUUCCAGUUACAGUAGCGGUAGCCGUUAUUCAAUCUAGUUCCUACUUUCUUUCAGUUUAUUGCUACUGUAUUCAGUAUAUCUGCUCAUCACCUUAUACAUCUCUUUCGUUUAUUAUUGUUCCUACUAUAUUUCUACUGACCGGUGUUGUUAUAUAGCUCUCCUGAUCCGGUGAGUACUCCUCGCCUCUUCGGCUUGCGGUACCCACUGGGAGGGGAGACAUAUUUACAUGUUCUCACCUCCCCCACUAUUUUUCAGGUAUCGCGGGCGGUAAGGGUUGAGACUGGACGUGAGAUACGUAGCAGUCGAUAGAACUUCUAACCAGGUUAUUCGGUUUAGUUCUACCCUUACUAUUAUGUUGAUAUAGCUUAAAUAGUUUAUAUGGUUCAGUAUAUUUUAUUACAUUUGAAAUAUUGGUUUUCAUGAAUGUAAUAAAUGGAUUUGUGAAUUUUGUGAAAUGGAAAGGUUUCUACCCUCGUGUAGCGUUUUUAAAAUAAAGGUUUCUGUAUAGGAAACAGUUUUCAAAAGAAUUUUCUGUGGAUUUAUGUUUAAAUAUUAAAUCAAAUCUGUGAUGUGAAUGGUGAAUGUAUGAAUGUAUGAAUGAAUAAUUAUUUCUAUAUCAUUUAGUUGUGGUUGUAUCCUGUUUGUACUGUUGUAUUGUCGACGCCUGCAAAUACAGGGGAGACUCUGUCCGUGUGAACAGUGGAAUUCCUGAUUUGUGGCGGAUCUGGCAUACUCUGGGGUCAGGUUUUCAAAAAAAAAAAAAAUUUAGACGCUUUUUUCGCUGUGUUCAAACAAAAAGAGACCCGGGGCAUGACAGUUCAAUCUUGACUUUAAACUAGCUCUAGUGUUUCUUUCAUCACUUUUUGUUGCCUACUAGCAAUCAUUGUUCUUUACCAUUCAUUACUCUUGCUAACUCUAGCAAUCAUAUUCUUUACAUUCUUUACUUUUGGCUACCUCUAGCACUUCAUGUUCUUUACUCCCACAUUACUUUAACUUUAACCAUUGUCAUUUUCAUCAUUCUUUAUAUUACAUUAGUUCUUUACCUCACACUAUCUCUAGUGUCAUUUCAGUUAACUUUACCGAAUGCCACUCGAUCUAUGUCAUUGUGUCACUCGUUCUUUUGCUCACUUUGGGUGCUCACUUUUCUCUCAUGCAUACACAGAUUUUUGACGUUCACAUAGUUCUCAUUCAUCAUAUUAUGCAAUUUGUACUCACAAUCAUGCUGUGACACCCAAUAAUCCCACAUCGGAUGGAAAUGGGGUUGUCAUUGGGUUAUAAUAGACUUAGACACUAGUAAUAAUAACUGGGGCUUAACAUUUUGGCUGGUUGUUGGCCAACGAGUUAUUGUUGCUAGUGGGCUGGUCGUUACAUUUGGUAUCAGAGCCGGUUCACCAGCUGGACAUGUAUGGCGAGUCUCGGUAAGCCAGGGUCUGGAUGACGGGCUAGCGAGACGGAUCUCACAUCGCCUCUGAUCUUGGGCUGUGUGUGUGAUUGGAUCCCACCACCUCGGCCAGAUCUGCUCAGAUCUGGCCGCAACUGUCGAGGGUGGUGGUGGCGGCGCUCGGGGGCGGCCGGGACGGCGGUGGCCAGCGGCGAUGAUGUUGGAGAAUGGUCUCGGCCAGAGGUGGGAGUCCGAGGUGUGGGUUCACCCUGGUAGCAGCACAAGUGGGUGUGAAGGGUGUGAAACAAGGAACAAUGGAGAGGUGGAGGAGCAGCCAGCUCCGGCGGGCGGCAGCGUGCUGCGUGAGCACCGGCUCCGCCUGGUUGGCCGCAUCCGUCCACCGCGGCUAACCCGCCGCCGGAGCUCUCUUGUCAACCGAAGUGAGCCCAUGCUCUCCUCGGUUGUGCACUAGGGCAUCGUUCCGCCGUCGUCGCCGCUCCCGUCGCCUGUUGACGCGAGCCCCGCCCUCCUCUGACCUGGAGCACCUUCUUGGCCGGCCUGCCCGCCGUCCAGCCGCCGCCGGCCACCCGAGCCCUGCCUAGCUCCGUAACUUGUAUUGCUAUUAUUGUGCACUGUUUGGGGUUGUGUAUACUGUUCCGGCCACGAGGCUGUUCCGAUGCCUCCAGAAGUGAGCACGGAUCAUCAGUCAGUGCUGAUCACAGUGCUCACCUCAAUUAGGGUCAGUGAGCCCCUGGUUAGCGAGAUAAGCAUGCUUUUCAUGCUGUGCGUGCUGUUCGCAGACUUUCGCAUCACCCCGCGCUCUCUACAGUGGCCGAAAUGGCUCCGAAAGGUGAGCACGGCCUCCGGCACGUCGAAACCUGUCAGUGGGUAUCUUGGCUCGGCUGAUUGACCUCUGGUUUGCAUGGACGGACCAUAAAAGUGCCGAAAUCGCAUGAAAUAUGCGAUUUCGGGUAUUCAGAAGGGCUUUUAUGCAACUUUGUUCGUCGCGGCAUCGCCUGUUGGCAGCAAGUAUGGGCUGAGGAUAACCUCCGGACUGAUUGUCCAAGGCCCCGGACCUUUGCGAAGAUCGAAAAGGGCAUUCCGGUGCGUUUGUCGGCAAAAUCCGCCGACGGAACGCGGUUUCUGUUCGGAAUUAUUCCGAUGGUGUCUCGGGAUGAUUUAUUGUGUCGCUGAGCCUAGUUGGUCGGUCACCCGUGUCAUUUCGAGGGUUCGGAAAUGACGGGUGAGCGACGGUGGGUUCCGGUGUCGAAAUAGACACUUCCGGGAACCCGGUUCGGAACGAUUAUCCGACGAUAAUCGUUUUGGAGUGAGUUAAGGUCUUUGCUGCCAAGUCGCAUGUAAAUUGUAUUUAGUGGCAGCGGGUGACUCGUAGUACGAGUUGGUGAGUUCCGGGACAGUCCGUGAGUCCCGGCAGAGUCUCGGUGCGGUUUUCGGGACUUCCGUUUUGUUCGGUAAUCGGUUUUGGGAAACCGAUCUCCGUGGUUUAUUUGUGGGGUUAUGCUUUUAGGGUUUCUUAGUUGUGGGUUAGACACUAACCCAGUGGACCCUCCUUAGGUCCUGUUGACGUUCUUUUGCAGUCAGGAGACAGGCGCGACAGUUGUACAGGUGGGUACUUCGAUCCGACGUUGGUACAGUGGUGCACGCUCGGUGAUGGUUUCUUACCCUUGCUCUUUUGUUAUUAUCCAUCCUUAUAUUAUAUGUUGAGCUUUGCACCUCUAUUGUUUACAUUACACCCACGUUGUUAGAUUAUACUCUACUCAGAUGUUUCCAUGCUUAGUAUCAUGUGUAGGAGUAUAGUCUAUCUGUAUGUGAUACCAUGUUUUCUUGUUGCUCUACUUAGCUAUUCUGCAUACCCUGAUUCGUGUUUAUAGUAGAGCGAUUCCGUGAUUAUCUGUGAGAUCAGCGAUCUAGUCGGUCGAUUCUAGUAUUCAGUAUUUGUGACCUAUUCGAUGAGUUCCUCGACCUUUGUUGUCUGAUGACCGUUGAGGUCGGUAUACCCUGAGGGGUAGGAUUGUCGGUUAGUUGCCGACGGAUGAUUAUAUUUUACUCAUAUUCACUAUUUGACAUGUUUGUGACCUAGUCGGUCAGUGCAUCAUAUCCUAUACUUGUGACAUGAUUGGUCGAGUUUCAUGUCCUAUACUUGUGACGUGGUUGGUCGAGUUUCAUAUCCUAGUUGAUCUGAGUGGUCAGUCCUUGUGGUUCAUUGAGCAGUAUUUGCAUAUGUUUGAGAGGAUGUCGAUGUUGUCCCAUCCUAGUUGACCUGAGUGGUCGGUUCUUGUGCUUCUUUACAGUUGACGACCUAUGCGGUCGAUGGGCCCUGGGGGGCAGGAUUGUCGGCUGGUUGCUGACGGUUGAUCAUUGAGCAUAUUGCAUUGAUCGCCCGAUACUCGUCGCAUUUCACGAACACUGGCGGUCUGAUCCAUCGCAAGGAGUGUUCUUUUUCGGAAAAGUGGUUGAAUGGUGACAACCCGUGAGCCCUAGAGGGG